rnacentral:misc_RNA from 2 species
UAAUCUCACUCCGACGACUUUGUUGUUGUCUGGAGGUGGACUUGGACUCUGCUGUGUCACAACGGCUGGUCUGAAAUGCAUGAGUGCACCCUGCUGUAGCAGCGUCUUCAGUGUGAUAAGUAUCUUCACUGAUUCAAGCUCCCCUUGUGGGACACGCUCGUCUGGUGGGCUCUGCGCUUCCAACCGUCUGCAUGGACAACUCUUGACA